GGAGUUGUAGCUCAGUGGUAGAGCACUUGCCUUGCAUGCAUGAGGCCUUGGGUUCCAUCCUCAGCACUA
rnacentral:tRNA from 1 species